UAGCGAAAUUCCUUGUCGGGUAAGUUCCGACCCGCACGAAAGGCGUAAUGAUUUGAGCGCUGUCUCGACAAUGCAUCCGGUGAAAUUGAAGUACCAGUGAAGAUGCUGGUUACCCGCGCCAGGACGGAAAGACCCCAUGGAGCUUUACUCCAGUUUGAUACUGGGAUUCGGUACUGCACGUACAGGAUAGGUGGGAGACUGAGAACUAUGGACGCCAGUCUGUAGGGAGUCGCUGUUGGGAUACCACCCCUGUAGUACUGGGUUUCUAACCAGCUGCCGUGACCCGGCAGUGGGACAAUGUCAGGCGGGGAGUUUGACUGGGGCGGUCGCCUCCGAAAGGGUAUCGGAGGCGCUCAAAGGUUCCCUCAGAAUGGUCGGAAACCAUUCGAAGAGUGCAAAGGCAGAAGGGAGCUUGACUGCGACACCGACGGGUGGAGCAGGUACGAAAGUAGGACUUAGUGAUCCGGUGGUAUAAAGUGGGAUUGCCAUCGCUCAACGGAUAAAAGCUACCCUGGGGAUAACAGGCUUAUCACUCCCAAGAGUUCACAUCGACGGAGUGGUUUGGCACCUCGAUGUCGGCUCAUCGCAUCCUGGGGCUGUAGUAGGUCCCAAGGGUUGGGCUGUUCGCCCAUUAAAGCGGUACGCGAGCUGGGUUCAGAACGUCGUGAGACAGUUCGGUCCCUAUCCGGCGCGGGCGGAGGAUAUUUGAGAGGAGCUGUCCUUAGUACGAGAGGACCGGGAUGGACGGACCACUGGUGUAUCUGUUGUCGACCAACGGCAUGGCAGAGUAGCCAAGUCUGGAAGGGAUAAACGCUGAAGGCAUCUAAGCGUGAAGCCCCCCUCAAGAUGAGAUAUCCCAUUCGAAAGAAGUAAACCCCCUUGAAGACGACGAGGUAGAUAGGGCAGAGGUGGAAGUGUGGCAACACAUGGAGCUGACUGUUACUAAUAGGUCGAGGGCUUGAUUAA
rnacentral:rRNA from 1 species